rnacentral:rRNA from 1 species
UAAUACGUAGGGCGCAAGCGUUGUCCGGAUUCACUGGGUGUAAAGGGUGCGCAGGCGGACAGGCAAGUCAGCGGUGAAAUCUCACGGCUCAACCGUGAAACUGCCGUUGAUACUGCUUGUCUUGAGUUCGGGAGAGGUUGAUGGAAUUCCAGGUGUAGCGGUGAAAUGCGUAGAUAUCUGGAAGAACACCGGUGGCGAAGGCGGUCAACUGGCCCGUAACUGACGCUCAGGCACGAAAGCGUGGGGAUCAAACAGGAUUAGAUACCCUGGUAGUCCACGCCCUAAACGAUGAAUACUUGGUGUUGGCCCAUGUGGUCAGUGCCGAAGGUAACCUGAUAAGUAUUCCACCUGGGGAGUACGCUCGCAAGGGUG